rnacentral:rRNA from 1 species
CAAUAGCGUAUAUUAAAGUUGUUGCGGUUAAAAAGCUCGUAGUUGGAUUUCUGGUCGGAAGCUCCUGUCCUCUGAUGAGCGUACAAGUGCGUCCUACCAUCCUUCUGUUAACCUUUAAGGCUUUCGCGGCUUUCUAGGGGCUCAGAUAUUUUACCUUGAGAAAAUUAGAGUGUUUCAGGCAGGCUAGCGCCGGAAUACAUUAGCAUGGAAUAAUGGAAUAGGACUUUUGCCUCUUCUGUUGGUCAUGAGGCUCGAGUAAUGAUUAAUAGGGAUAGUUGGGGGCAUUAGUACUUAACUGUCAGAGGUGAAAUUCUCGGAUUUGUUAAAGACUAACUUAUGCGAAAGCAUUUGCCAAGGAUGUUUNCAUUA